UGUGCUGGUUCAACAGCUUAUUAUCAUUUUAUUUGAGCAUGCUACUUAAGUAUCAUUUCAUAUCUAAUGAAACAUCAAUAUCAUGUAUUGAUUAAUAACAUACAACAUUUAAAGCAAGAGGUGUCUGAUCAUGCUGGAGUAUGGAUGUUUCAGGAUUUUUAUGUUUUACCUACAUUGAAAUAUUUGUAGGUUGCAAGAAAAGAAGAAGGUAGUGGAUGGGAUCCCACAUAUACAAGGAGGAGUUUUUUUUCCCAUAUUGGAGAUCAGUGUUACGAACCCGGUGUCCUGUGAAGGUGUAUCCAGUUUAUGCAAGAGCAGAUGCUAGGUCUGGGCGUCAUCUUGAACGGAUCAGUGUCUCUCGGAGUAGCCCAAUGAUCAAUGGAGCUACUCCAAACCAUAAGCUUGGUUUGGUGGGAAGAACCUCAACACUUUCAAGCAAUCUUCAUGCCAAAAGGAGCUUCAGCAUUGCAGCUAUUGGUGCAUUCAGGUUCUUGAAACUGCUAAAGUAUGCAUGAGUAGAAAGGUGCCCUGUGAAUGCUACUCCGUGCAUGUUUCUCCAAUAAUGGGCUGGUUGCUCAUUGUGUUGUGUUUGUUGGUGGAUGUUCCUGAUUAGAUGACAUCGAUGUGGCCGAACCUGUAUUGCUAUGGUCGCAUGUGUUAAUGGUUUAUCUAAUACUUGAA